CCUGUAUAGGUACAAUUCAUUAUCAUUUCAGUACCUGUAGUAGGUAGAUGUGUGUUAAUCAAGACAUCAUUCAUGUCCUACACGGAAUAACAAAAUAAAUAAAGAAGAAGUUAAGAACAACAUUUUAGACAUAUUGAUUGAUGUCGUAACAUACUAUGUAGUUAUACACACGCACAAGAACACACACACAUACUCACAGUAUAUAUAUAGGAGUAUACAUUCGAUUCCAAAACACCAGUGUGACAAACGGCCAUCACUCAAUGUCUGGAAGGAAUAAAAUAGCUCAGACCAUACAAAAAUAGUAUCAAGAAUGCUAAAACUGUUGAUGACUUUUUUUCUUUUAGACAAAGAAAAAAGAGAAAAUGAAAAAUGCCAGCAAUUGCACGUUUUAAAAACAGUCUGCCUACCUAUUAUGUAUACUUACAACACUGGAGCAGUUGUACAUUCAACGUUUUUUUUUCUUUCAAACUCCAUGUUCCACAUCGAUAAACAUUUAUGGUUGAUAUUAAUCUUUACCAGCUAUCAUAAUUUAUUCUUUGUUUAUAUUCGCUGUUAAUCCAUUACAUUCGUGUGUAUGCUGUGUUUGAUUUUUUAUAUGUCCAGUGACCGGGUAAUACAGAUUUUUUGGACUGAUUGUACAGGAACAGUCAUCUCGAAUGAUUACCAACUGUCAAUAAAACGAAUUUGCGUAUUUAAAACGUUGAAUAUUCGUACCGAUAAUACCUACAUAAUACAGGUAUAAUUAUAUUAUAUUAUGCUUAUACCUGUG